rnacentral:rRNA from 1 species
GACGAACCGUGCGAACGUUGUUCGGAAUCACUGGGCUUAAAGGGUGCGUAGGCUGCGCGGAGGGUGGGAUGUGAAAUCCCCCGGCUCAACCGGGGAAUAGCGUCCCAAACCGCCGUGCUCGAGGGAGACAGAGGUGAGCGGAACUGAUGGUGGAGCGGUGAAAUGCGUUGAUAUCAUCAGGAACACCAGUGGCGAAGGCGGCUCACUGGGUCUUUCCUAACGCUGAGGCACGAAAGCUAGGGGAGCGAACGGG